CGGACGGCUUCGGCCCCUGCCCCACCCGGUCUCCCGAAAGGGUUUCCACGGUGCGAACGGCGUCCUUCGGGCCGCAGGACACGGGACACUGCUCGUAAGUCUUCCCUGUUGGCCUCACGGCCCUCAGUAGAACCGAGUAGCAUUCAGAAGGCUCAUUACCUUCUGAACACCGGAGGUAGACGGCUUCGGCCCCUGCCCCGUCUGGUCACCCGAAAUGGGUCACCUGACGUGCCCAGCGGCUUCACGGCUUCUGGAAACGGUGAACUGGCCGCACCCCUUUCGAGGGCCGGUCAGCCAAGCGCAGGGUCGCUCCCUGUUGCUGGUUCCGUGGCUCACCGACGAUACGAGGGUGAGCGGGGUAAGACAGGCCCCGGCUACCGGUUUGAGUUCCGGCUUCUGGGGAUGGUGCAUCCUCACUCUGCUCCCCGACCCCGGUCGGCACACAGAGACCCAAUCACCCGGCCCUGCUUGUAGGCCGCUGACAACAUGCGAGGCAUCGCUAACCGCCAG
rnacentral:lncRNA from 1 species